UUUUUCGCAAUGGGCGCAAGCCUGACGAAGCGACGCCGUGUGAGUGAUGAAGGCCUUCGGGUUGUAAAGCUCUUUCGCCUGGGACCAAGAGAGGUAUACUAAUAGUAUGCCAAUUUGAGGGUACCAGGUAAAGAAGCACCGGCUAACUCCGUGCCAGCAGCUGCGGUAAUACGGAGGGUGCAAGCAUUAAUCGGAUUUAUUGGGCGUAAAGGGCGCGUAGGCGGGUUGGUAAGUCAGAUGUGAAAUUCCGAGGCUCAACCUCGGAGCUGCAUUUGAAACUACCAAUCUUGAGGUAUGGCGGAGAAAACGGAAUUCCACGUGUAGCGGUGAAAUGCGUAGAUAUGUGGAGGAACACCGGGGCGAAAGCGGUUUUCUAGCUUUAACCUGACGCUGAGGCGCGAAA
rnacentral:rRNA from 1 species